rnacentral:snRNA from 1 species
AUCGCUUCUCAGCCUUUUGGCUAAGAUCAAGUGUAAAUAAUGUUAAACUAAGUCGUUUUUGAGAUAGAGCCAGAUCUUCUGUAUCUGUGAGUUCAUCACUCACAGGAAUUAACUUAA